rnacentral:rRNA from 1 species
AGUGAACGCUGGCGGUAGGCCUAACACAUGCGAGUCGAACGGCAGCACAGUAAGAGCUUGCUCUUACGGGUGGCGAGUGGCGGACGGGUGAGGAAUACAUCGGAAUCUACUUUUUCGUGGGGGAUAACGUAGGGAAACUUACGCUAAUACCGCAUACGACCUACGGGUGAAAGCAGGGGAUCUUCGGACCUUGCGCGAUUGAAUGAGCCGAUGUCGGAUUAGCUAGUUGGCGGGGUAAAGGCCCACCAAGGCGACGAUCCGUAGCUGGUCUGAGAGGAUGAUCAGCCACACUGGAACUGAGACACGGUCCAGACUCCUACGGGAGGCAGCAGUGGGGAAUAUUGGACAAUGGGCGCAAGCCUGAUCCAGCCAUACCGCGUGGGUGAAGAAGGCCUUCGGGUUGUAAAGCCCUUUUGUUGGGAAAGAAAAGCAGCAGGUUAAUACCCCGCUGUUCUGACGGUACCAAAAGAAUAAGCACCGGCUAACUUCGUG